AAGCCCAGGAACAAAACUUCUAGACCAAAUUUGCAAUUUGGUGCUUACUGGGCU
rnacentral:tRNA from 1 species